GGCAGGAGUCUCCUGUCUUUUCCUUGACCAUGAAUUUAUUGCUGAAGAAAACCUGUUGUGUCCGGAGCCACUUGGGCUGCUCCUUUGGCGAACCGGGCAUGGAUCUCUUAGUCUAUGAGCGACAUGUGAGUUGCUGCCAAACGCAAUGGAGGGGGACCCCUGCCAAGCUUAGGGCAAAACACUUGUCUCAAUGACUUGAAUGGGC